rnacentral:rRNA from 1 species
CACGCCCUAAACUAUGAUCUCUAGUCUUUCGGAGUAUCGACCCUCUGAGAGACGUAGCUAACGCGUUAAGAGAUCCGCCUGGGAAGUACGGCCGCAAGGCUAAAACUCAAAGGAAUAGACGGGGACUUGCACAAGUAGUGGAUUAUGUGGUUUAAUUCGACGAUAAACGAAGAACCUUACCAAGGUUAGAAAUCAACGUGAAAGCCCCGAGAAACCGGGGCCCUCGCAAGACUAGUUGACAGGUGA